rnacentral:rRNA from 1 species
GACGAACGCUGGCGGCGUGCUUAACACAUGCAAGUCGAACGGAAAGGCCCUGCUUUUGUGGGGUGCUCGAGUGGCGAACGGGUGAGUAACACGUGAGUAACCUGCCCUUGACUUUGGGAUAACUUCAGGAAACUGGGGCUAAUACCGGAUAGGAGCUCCUGCUGCAUGGUGGGGGUUGGAAAGUUUCGGCGGUUGGGGAUGGACUCGCGGCUUAUCAGCUUGUUGGUGGGGUAGUGGCUUACCAAGGCUUUGACGGGUAGCCGGCCUGAGAGGGUGACCGGCCACAUUGGGACGGAGAUACGGCCCAGACUCCUACGGGAGGCAGCGGUGGGGAAUAGAGCACAAUGGGCUGAAGCCUGAUGCAGCAACGCCGCGUGCGGGAUGACAGCCUUCGGGUUGUAAUCCGCUUUCGCCUGUGACGAAGCGUGAGUGACGGUAAUGGGUAAAGAAGCACCGGCUAACUACGUG